rnacentral:tRNA from 1 species
AAGGAGCACGCCUGGAAAGUGUGUAUACGUGUAAGCGUAUCGAGGGUUCGAACCCCUCCCUCACCGCCAUAUUAAAAUGAAAAGCUC